rnacentral:RNase_P_RNA from 2 species
CUUGACAAACGCUGCUUAUUUUUAUAAGUAGAGGAAAGUCCAUGCUCACACUAUCUGUGAUGAUAGUAGUGUUCGCGCAUUGGGAAAAAAUAACCAAUGGUAGUUUUUACUAACGGCGUUGAAGUAACCUAAGUUUUUAAUAUGGUUAUUGUAAACAUAAAGUGCCAAAGAGACGAUUAAUCCAGAAAUGGAGGAAGUGGAACGUGGUAAACCCCGCGAGUGAGAAACCCAAAUUAUGGUAGGGGAACCCGAUUGAGAAGAAACGAAUUCUCUAGGGAUCGAUAUUCGAUAGAUAAAUGUUUGUCGCUUCAAUGAAGUACAGAACAUGGCUUAUAA